rnacentral:sRNA from 1 species
UAGUUCUCUGGUACAACAUAAUCUUCUGGAAACAAUACACUGAAUAGAAGAAUAUUAAUAUGGGAUACUGUGCUAAGGUCAGAUCACUUUAGUCUAAUAUAUAUUUUAAAAUUAUAUAACAAUGCAAUGCAUAGUUUAUAUUGUUGACAUGCUUUUGCUUGCAAUAUAGAAGAUGCACACAGAAAAAGUAAUUUAAAGAGGAAAUUAUCCUGCACUUUUUGAAUUUCAACCCAUUGGUAUUUAAAUUUUGCUUGUUAAAUUGCAUGUUUUAACAUAUCUUUUAACAGUUAAUUCAGGACAGCAGAAGAGAAACUAAAAAUGUUGCAUCUGGAGGUGGUGGGGUUGGAGAUGGUGUUCAAGAACCAACCACAGGCAACUGGAGAGGAAUGCUGAAAACUUCAAAAGCUGAAGAGUUAUUAGCAGAAGAAAAAUCAAAACCCAUUCCAAUUAUGCCAGCCAGUCCACAAAAAGGUCAUGCCGUGAAUCUGCUAGAUGUGCCAGUUCCUGUUGCACGAAAACUAUCUGCUCGGGAACAGCGAGAUUGUGAGGUUAUUGA